rnacentral:misc_RNA from 1 species
UGGUUCUGGCAUNGAUGAAGAACGCAGCGAAAUGCGAUAAGUAAUGUGAAUUGCAGAAUUCAGUGAAUCAUCGAAUUUUUGAACGCAUAUUGCGCCUUCUGGUAUUCCGGGGGGCAUGCCUGUUCGAGCGUCAUUACAACCCUCAAGCUCAGCUUGGUAUUGGGUGCUACCGCUGGGUACACCUUAAAAUCAGUGGCGGUGCCAUCUGGCUUCUAGCGUAGUAAUACUUUUCGCUAUGGGGCUCUAGGUGUGUGCUUGCCAUCAACCGCUAUUUUACUGGUUGACCUCGGAUCAGGUAGGGAUACCCGCUGA